rnacentral:lncRNA from 1 species
UCAAUCUAGUUAAUUUGGGGCAUUGUCAUUCAUGGUUUGUUGAAAGAGUAACUGGAAAUCGAGUAGUAUGUAUAUGUUUCAUGUGUGGAGAAGGAACCCUCUAACUAGCCUUUCACCAUCUUAAUUUCCAUCAAAUCGUUUUUGUCAAGUUUGUUUUCAAAGUUUCUGUUUUAAAAGUUAAAUUCGUCAAAACCAAACCCCUUGCUUUUAAAUCUUGUUUUUAGAGUCAAAACUUGUUUCUUUUAAGUCUUUUGAGUCUUUGAAGUUCUAUUUUCGUCCAAAUCACUUGUUAGGUCUAGAAUUGAGUUUUUUUUUUAUUGUUUCUUGCUGUUUUUAGUGUUUUAAAGUUAGUUUUGAGUCUAUAGAGUCUAGUUUAGUGUUUUUGAGUCUUAUUUGUGUUGAUUAGCAUCCCUAGUUAAUCCCCGGUUUAGAACGAUCCCUACUUGCUUAAAUACUACAAUUGUCAUCAAUAGGGUUUAAUUUGUGGGUCAAUAUAAUUUUCACAUCAAAUUUUGGCGCCGUUGCCGGGGAUUAGCAAAAUUGCUAAUCCCCCUUUGUUUCUUUUUCGUGUCUUUUGUUUUUCGUUUCUGAUUUUGUUUCAUUUAUUUUACUUUUGAUAUUUGAUUAAGUUUUCUUUCUUUGAUUUCAGGUUCUAGCGAAGUAAGACAUGGAUUUUGCUAACAUUCAAGCUCAAUUAGCGAAUCUUACUUCUCAAUUAUCACAGAUUGCCGGAAGGACUACAAUGCAAAGUGUCCCUACAUUUGGUGUGUCUUAUGGGCACGGAUAUCAAACUCAUCAACAUCCUCAAUUCACUGUGAACGAAGAUGCUUGGGGUUAUCAAGGCUAUGAUCAACCAAGCAACAACAUGUUUUCCAACACUUACAAUUCGGCUUGGAGAGAUCAUUCAAAUUAUAUGUGGGGGGAACCUCAACAAUUCCAACAAGAUGGAUAUUGGCAGCAAGAGGAGGAGUUCUAUUCAAGACCUAUGCAAUAUGCCCAAUCAAACUCAGGUUCGUCAAUAAAUUAUAAUCAAAUUCUUAAUGAAUUAAAUUGUUUGGUGCAGGGCUCACAAAAUCAAGCCAAUAAGGCUCAACAAGAUGCAUAUUGGCAGCCAUAUGAGGAGUUCUACACCACACCUAUACAGCCACCACCGCAUACCCCACAACAAUUCCAAUCAAAAUUCAAGUAUGUCCAUGGAUAGUGAUCAAAUUCUUCAAGUACUAACCUCUUUGACGCAGGACCAACAAAAUCAAGACAAGAAGUUGGAUAAAUUGAAGAGUCAAAUGGGAGAGAUUAUGGAAUUCAUGGUACAAAUUCAAGAGCAAAGUGAACUCUCCAACUCAACUGUUGAAAAUUCGAAGGAAGAUUUUGAAAUCCACGAUGCUAUCACUUUGGGAAGUGCUAUGGAAGUUGGAGCUGGCCUAAAAACGUCCAAACAUAGCCUAGAAGUGGAUGAGGAGGAGGAAGCAGACAUACACACGGCAAGGGUAGAACAACCCUUGCCGCAGCCCCUUAAGCCCUCUAGCCCACCCACCACAAGUAAGGACGUCCUAAUUUCAUUUCAUUCUAAUGUUAUUCCUCCGAAUGUCCCUUUUCCUAGCAGGUUUUUGAUUCCCAAGAAAGAAGAGAGUGAAAAAGACAUCGUGGAAGCCUUCCCAAGUGUGCAAAAUGAUAUUCCAAUUCUUGGCACACCCACUCAAGUACCAGAUUGUGUUGAAGGGUUCAAAGAACCUAGUUCACCACAAAGAAAGAGUCAAGAAAAAGAAGUGGCUGGUGAAUUUCAAGAAUUCAUUAAAGAGCAUGUAAUUGAGACAACCAUCCCCAAAGAAGUUGAGUUUGAUGACACGGGACAAAUCACAACCAUCGUAGUACAUCUAGCCAAAUUCAAAGUCCCUGAAACUUUCAAAGAAGUGGCACCCACGUUAGAAUUUAAACCAUUUCUGGAUCAUUUCAAGUAUCACCGUCCAUUCAAAGAUCAAUUCCAUGUCAUGGCCACCAAUGGAGCUUAAUUGGAGGUAUCGUCCGGCUGGAAGACGUUAAAGCAAGCGCUUCUUGGGAGGCAACCCAUGCAAAUAAAGAAGACCUAGGAAGCUCCGGCAUCACAACCAGAUUUGCGUUCCUAAACCCUACUCUUUAUUGCUUUUACUUUGCCAUAUUUGUCAUGUUUGCUAGUUGUGUUAUUUGCGUGCUUUUGUGUGAGUCUAUGUUUGAAACAUUGAGGACAAUGUUUGGUUUAAGUGUGGGGGGGUAAACAAAGUGUUUUUGUGUCAAAUUCGUAGGAUUUUAUCACCUAACAUUUCAAAGGUUGUUUUUCAUCGUUUUUAAGUGUUUUUAGAAAGUUUUGAUGUGUUUUAUGUGGCUUUACCAGAAAAUCCGAAAAUUCAAGAAAAAAAAUAGAAAAAGUUUUGAAAAAAAACCUAAAAAGAGUCGUUUUAAAAGUUGUUUUUGUGUGUUUGUGUCGUAGAGUACCUUCCAACACAAUGAUGAGGAUUUGGUUUUUAAUUGCAUGACCGUUAAAGAAAGUUACAAACAUGGAUGGAAGUUUGAUAUGCUCUUUUGUUUAUGCUUGGUCAUCGUUGUUGUUUACGAAUUCACAUAUAAUCACAAAGAAAGAAAAAAUCAGUUUUUGUAACAUGCUUGAAGGAAGUAACUCAAACUAACGCUACAACCUUGUGAGACUUGAGCCUAAACGUUUAUUUGGAGAGUUAAUAACCUUUGAAUUUGUUGUUUUCUAAAGUCGUUGCAUGAUCUCAUCAUUCUUUGCUUGGUUGCUACUUAGAAGGCGUGUCAUCAUUAUAGAUCCAAAUAUUAGAACUCAUACCCAUUUCAUUCAAAACUUAAAAUUGAGUGCAUAACAUAUAACAAGAUGAAGUGUUUAGUAGUUAUCACCAGAGCCAAAAAGCCUUCAACCCAUGCAUUUGUUUUUUGUAGGAUUAACCCCUUUGAGCCUUAUUUAGCCUAUUUUUGUUGUUAGCCACAUUAUCCGUACCUAGCCUAGAGUAGGACUAUCCAUACCCUUGUUCUUAAAGGAUAAUAAAGCAUGACUUAGAGGGAAUUCCUUUUGAUCAAUGUGUGCAGAAAACUAAGUGUGGGGGAAGGGAAAGUUUGUGUGCCAAAAGAAGUAAGGAGGGCACCGGUAGAAAAGAAAAAAAAAAAAAAAAAUUCGUGGAAAUAAGAAAAGAAAAUAAAAAGUGUGUGAAAAGAAAGAAAAAGAGUUGAAAAUAAGUGAGAAUUAACUCACAUGUGUUGGUUGUUGGAGAAAGGGUCCAAAAAGAUUGAAUUUGACCCUAAGUGUUGCAUGAGUCUUCCCCUUGAGUUUAAACAUUGAUUUUUGCAUGCAAAAGUGAAUUCUAAGUGUCAAUUUCAUUACUUUGCUUAUUAUUCUUUAAGAAUGUUUGUUUAUCCUUACCUUUCUUUGUUAGCCAAUACCUUAGCCCCGUUACAACCCUUUGCUUCUAUCUUGAUUGUUAUGUGUUUCAAUAUGUGGAGUUUGGAAUUGGUAUGAGCAUAUGUUAUCCCUGGUUCUCGCAUCUAAGUAGUAGCAUUCCAUUCAUGAGAUUGUAUACAUACAUUCAUAAUUCCAGAAAAUGCUUUUAUUGUCAUAACAUAUAUGUGAGCAUUCGUUUUCAUAUUUACAUCAAUCUUCUCACAUAUAACUAGUGUAGGGUGUGUAGUCAGAAAAUCUAAGUGAAAACAAGAGUGUAUAUCUAGUGAGGAAUUGAGGGAUUCUCUAAGGCAUGUUACUACAUUCAAAACAUUGUUUUAAUUGAUUAAAUGUGAGCUAGUAAGUGAUGACUAUGAUUAAGUAUGUGCUUAAGUGUAAAGAUGGCUAAAAUCUAUGUGGAGUAGUAAUCUUUGGCGUGUCAUGUACCAUUGGAAAUCCCUGAGGCGAUUGUUGGAAGGUUUAGGUUAUGUUUUGUUUCGUUGUUUUGCUCGAGGACUAGCAAAAGCUAAGUGUGGGGGAAUUUGAUAGGAGCAUAUUUAUGCGCCUUAGUUAGUUAGUUCUUAUGCAUUUAUGUUGUGUUUUCUUAGUUAAAGUUAGUCUUUUAAGCUAUUUUCAUGUGUUUUCAGGUUUUAGAGACAAAGUGAGCAAAAGGAUGCAAUUUGGAGCAUUUUGGAGCAAAAUUGGGCUAGAAUGGAGUUCAUGCACAUGAAGCACAAGGGAUGGACGAAUUUGAAGGAUUGAUGAAGCUAGGAAGGUGUUUCAAAGUUGAAGAAUUGAAGAUACAAAGUUUCCUAGUUGAAGUAGGAAAGGGCUUAAUGAAGGAUUCCUAAAUGAAGAAGGAUUCCUAAUCAAUGUAGGAGUCCUAAUUGAAGAUGGAUUCCUAGACGAAUGAAGUUUCCUACUCAAGCAAGGUUUCCUACAUGAAGAAGAAGAAUUAAAGCCAAAGAAUCAGCUCAAGAGAAGGAUCUUAUCCAAAACCUCAUCCAUAACCUUAUCUUAGCUUAUCUUAUCCAAACAAACCUUAUCCUAUCUUAUCUUAUCCUAAUCCUAAAUUAUCCACAUUCCAGCCACUUAGGAGGGUUUCUAACUAGAUUAGGAUGCUUAAAAUGGGAUUUCUAGAAGACCUAAUCCUUUCCUACAAAGGUGCCACACCUUAUCCCUUGUUUUUUCUAGAAAUCAGCCACAAAACAACCUUUCUAGAAGGCCUUAUCCCUUGUCCUACAAAAGUGACGCCCCAAACCUUUCUAGGACUCCUAGAAACCUGAUUAUUCCUUUCCCCUUGGUUUCUAAAAGCCUUAGCCUUUUCCUUCAAGGAUUGUGUGUUUAUUAUCCUAUACAAAUUAGGCUUUUAAAUCCUUUUCCUUUGCUACAUAGGGGCUGCGAAUUUCAGCCUAUAAAUACCACCCUUUGCUGCACCAUUUAGUCACCAUCCUCUACCAUAUUUUCACUACACCAUUCACCCAAACAUACCUCAUUGUGUGCCGUGAGUUUGCAAGGAGAAAGAAGGAAGAACUCUUGGAGCCGUGCAUGCCAUUCAAGGAGCUUGGAUUGUGGGAGCGUUUCUAGGUGUUUUCUAUCUUUGUUUUAAUGUUUAAAUUUAUUUAUCUUUGUUUAUUUGCGAGUAUGAGGAACUAAUUUCUUUAUAGGCUAGGGGGGAUUCGAAAGCCAUGAUCAUAUGUUUUAUAUGACUUUGAUUACUUCCAAUUAUGAUUUCAUGAAGUUGUGAAUGUGGUUUACUUAUCUAUGUGAAUUGAUAACUUAUUCUUGUAUGUUGAUUGAGGGUCGACACUUAGUUUGCAUGCAUGAAUUUGAUGCUAGAGUAUAAAGGGAAUUUCACCUAAUCGUUAUGAACUUAUAUUCAUAAGUAGUAAAAGGUCGCUUGAGUCACGAUUGUGUUAAGUAAAUUCUUGGCAAAAGUAACAUGCGUAUCCCAUAGUUAUGAAGUGCUUCGUCAAUGCUUAUGAUUUUCCAUUGAACUUAAUGAUCUUUGAUAUGUGUCUCUAUCAUGCGUAUUCCAUAGUUAGGGUCCUUGAUAAGAAUAAUUUGGUUGUAAUGCGUAUCCCAUUCAAUUCAAUGAAUCUAGGGAAAUCUGAGAAUUAAUUGGUCAAUCUAGUUAAUUUGGGGCAUUGUCAUUCAUGGUUUAUUGAAAGAGUAAUUGGAAAUCGAGUCGUAUGCAUAUGUUUCAUGUGUGGAGAAGGAACCUCUAACUAGCCUUUCACCAUCUUAAUUUCAUCAAAUCGUUUUUUGUCAAGUUUGUUUUCAAAGUUUCUGUUUUUAAAAGUUAAAAUUCGUCAAAAUCAAACCCCUUGCUUUAAAUCUUGUUUGUUUUUAGAAAUCAAAACUUGUUUCUUUUAAGUCUUUUGAGUCUUUGAAGUUCUAAUUUUCGUCCAAAUCACUUGUUAGGUCUAGAAUUGAGUUUUUUUUUUU